UGGAGCCUACGGGAGGCAGCAGUGAGGAAUAUUGGUCAAUGGGCGGGAGCCUGAACCAGCCACGUCGCGUGAGGGACGACGGUCCUAUGGAUUGUAAACCUCUUUUGUCGGGGAACAAAGGCGUCCACGGGUGGGCGGAUGAGUGUAUCCGAAGAAAAAGCAUCGGCUAACUCCGUGCCAGCAGCCGCGGUAAUACGGAGGAGGCAAGCGUUAUCCGGAUUUAUUGGGUUUAAAGGGUGCGUAGGCGGACAGUCAAGUCAGAGGUAAAAA
rnacentral:rRNA from 1 species